rnacentral:miRNA from 1 species
UGUGGGUGUGUGCAUGUGCGUG